UACGAAGGGAGCUAGCGUUGUUCGGAAUCACUGGGCGUAAAGCGCGCGUAGGCGGACCUGCAAGUCGGGGGUGAAAGCCCGAGGCUCAACCUCGGAACUGCCUUCGAUACUGCGGGUCUCGAGUCCGGGAGAGGUGAGUGGAAUUCCUAGUGUAGAGGUGAAAUUCGUAGAUAUUAGGAAGAACACCAGUGGCGAAGGCGGCUCACUGGCCCGGUACUGACGCUGAGGCGCGAAAGCGUGGGGAGCAAACAGG
rnacentral:rRNA from 1 species